rnacentral:rRNA from 1 species
UCCGGGGGGGGCAAGCGUUGUUCGGAAUUACUGGGCGUAAAGGGCGCGUAGGCGGUCCGCUAAGUUGGAUGUGAAAACUCUGGGCUUAACCCAGAGCCUGCAUUCAAAACUGACGGACUAGAGUUCUGGAGGGGGUAGCGGAAUUCCUGGUGUAGCGGUGAAAUGCGUAGAGAUCGGAAGGAACACCAGUGGCGAAGGCGGCCACCUGGACAGAUACUGACGCUGAGGCGCGAGAGCGUGGGGAGCAAACAGG